AGAAAGGGGCCGCCAUUCAAG
rnacentral:misc_RNA from 1 species